UACGGGGGGGGCAAGCGUUGUUCGGAAUUACUGGGCGUAAAGGGCGCGUAGGCGGCCUGCUAAGUCGGAUGUGAAAUCCCUCGGCUCAACCGGGGAACUGCAUCCGAUACUGGUGGGCUUGAAUCCGGGAGAGGGAUGUGGAAUUCCAGGUGUAGCGGUGAAAUGCGUAGAUAUCGGGAGGAACACCUGAGGCGAAGGCGGGCUACUGGGCUGAUACUGACGCUGAGGCGCGAAAGCUAGGGGAGCAAACAGG
rnacentral:rRNA from 1 species